UACGUAGGGUGCGAGCGUUGUCCGGAAUUAUUGGGCGUAAAGAGCUCGUAGGCGGCUUGUCGCGUCGACCGUGAAAACUUGGGGCUCAACCCCAAGCCUGCGGUCGAUACGGGCAGGCUCGAGUUCGGUAGGGGAGACUGGAAUUCCUGGUGUAGCGGUGAAAUGCGCAGAUAUCAGGAAGAACACCCGUGGCGAAGGCGGUUCUCUGGGAAUGUCCUGACGCUGAGGAGCGAAAGUGUGGGGAGCGAACAGG
rnacentral:rRNA from 1 species